rnacentral:tRNA from 1 species
GCUGGGAUCGCAUAAUUCGGUAUUGCGCAAGCCUGGAAAGCUUGUCCCAUUAGGGAUUCUGGGUUCAAAUCCCAGUCCCAGCG